UUUUUGCUAUUCUGUUCAAUUGCCUGACCCAGAGAAUCAGCAUAAUGGGAUUGCAAUGGGAACCAAGGCAAAGAAGAUGGGAUCACACACAAAUAUUGGACCAGAACUUGAUUAGCAAGCAUGAUUACUCACUCAUUGAACUUGGCAUUAGGGGCCUUAAAUGGGUUUGUUCCCAAAAGGCAAUUUGGAGCUCUUUUUCACUAGAUUCAUGCCUUGUCCUGUGCAUGGCUGGAUUCUUACUGAAGAAGUAGUAAAAAGGAAGAGGAAAGAAAAACACUCUGAUGUGUUGAAGUGGCCAAGCAUUCUAUAAAAGCCCUAAAACUUUCCUUGGCAACAUGUGGUCAAAUGAAGCCUAAAUUAGCAUUGUUGUCAUCAAUGAGCCCAUCCCAAGGAAUCAUUGGAUCCCCUUGGCAAAGACAAAUGCCAUAUGGCUUUGUUUGUUAGGGACAUGGCUUCUCAUUCCCAACAAAAGAGAGAAGGAGAGGAGAAGUCAUGGUGCUACUUCACACAAAAGAGGCUUCAUAACCAUUCAUCUUACAAGGUUCGAAUGGAGUGGUGGAAUAGGGUUGGGUUGGCCUAGGCCUCAAACAAAGACAAUGAAUGGUAAAAAUUACACAUUCAUCCAUGUGUACAUUUAUUGUCAUUAUAUGGAAGCACAUAUUCCAUUCUUGCUUAUUUUCCAUGUGCCAAAGUGGAGCCAAAGAUCUUAUGACUUAAACAACAAUAAAAUAAAAUAGAUGUCAUUAUACUAAUACACACAUUGUUAACAACAACAAGGAAUUUGACAAAAAUGGUAAUUAAAGUCUACUCACAUUCUAGUAAGAUUCUGCAAUUAGAAUGGAACUU
rnacentral:lncRNA from 1 species